UGCGAUUUAUACAAAAAUAUCUAUCUACCAGAGAAGCUGGUACUGUUUUACUCAAUCAGGUUCUCACAUUCGAACUGAUCGCUGUUUUGCAUUUACCACCAUUUUUUCUGAGCCGUAGUUCUUGUUGAAUUGCUGUUUAGGAUCACAUUUUACUGCUGGAAAUUCACUGCUUUUCUAUAAGAUUAGAAAAGAUGCGAUCAUAAUUUGCACUCAUAACACCUUCCACCAAGCUGCUGAUGCACAUGUGAAAAUUAAUACUGCGAAAUAUUUCUUAGGGGCUAUAUAAGAUGUCGUUUUAGAGAUUCUCCAUUUAAAAGAAUAAUAAGCAACAUUCACAGUUAGCUUUAUUUAUGUAAUAAUAAGGGUACAAGUAGGUAAAUACGAAAACAAUGAAACUAAAUAAACAUUCGAAUAUUCCAAAAAACUGUUUAGUAUUUAACGCAUUACGAUCGUAAUGCGUCGACGCACUAAAAUCAGAUAAAGUUCUUGGACAUGUUUUAGAUUUUAUCUAUUUUUUUUUAUUAUAACGUUGACACCUACAUUUUUUAGAAGACGUAAUGAUAAUUUAUUUUUUUUAUUUACAUAUUUGCGUAAAAUUGUUAUAAGCGUACGGAUGCCUUUAACAACCAUUUGCUAAUUAAGUUAGCAUAUUGUAUCUCUAAUUGUUACACUUGUCUUAUGAUUAACAUUUUCAAAUAAAUAUAACGUAAAUAUUGAAAUAUUGAACUUUGAUAUAUUCGAUCCUCGUCUUGAGAAUAGUUCCACCAAAAAUACCUUGUUUUACUAUAGUUUUGUUAAAUGGGAAAGUAAAACAUCAUUUAGAUUCUUAUUAAUGACAUUGUAACUAAUAAUACCUAAUACACUAUUACUUCUUCAAAUUUAUUUUAUGAAAGAAAUAUGAACCGCUCUAUUUCCACUCGAAAGAUCCGAUUAGUAUAGGGAGCCAGUCAAGAGAACGGACUGAGUUUCAUUAAUUACACACAUUAAAAUACUGUGAAAGUUUGUUUUAAUUUUCAAAUUAUAGAUAUCAAUUACUCGUAAUGUAUGCGAUCUUAAGUCAGCCGAUUGUUAUGUCAUAGUGGUGUCGUCAUAUUUAUGCAGCUUUGGCUUUACCAGUUCCAGACUCUCCAGAUAUAGACUUAUUUUAUGCAGUUUUCUUCGAAGCAUAUUACAGUUUGCCAGAUAAUACAACAACCUAUGAGUUUCCUCCAUUAGUAAGCGACAGGGCUUUUGGUAGAAAGACAUUGUACGAGUCUAUCAAAGAAAAAUUGUUGUUAAAAGGGUAUCCAGGGAAAGAGUGCAUUUUAAAAGCUAUCUGCGAAGCAGCAGCCUACACAACUCUGCACGCUAACGGCGUUAUCGGCGAUUUAGUUCAUUUGCUGUUCACGCCAUCGUCAACGAAUAAUGGUGACGAAAGUUAUUUUGCUGAGUAUAAGGAAGCGGAAAAAAUAGGAUGGGAUACUCAAAACUGCAAAACAUAUAACAAUUGUCAAAUAAAUUUGUUGGAUAUAAUGAGUUUUAUAAAAUA